UAGGGAAUCUUCGGCAAUGGACGAAAGUCUGACCGAGCAACGCCGCGUGAGUGAAGAAGGUUUUCGGAUCGUAAAACUCUGUUGUUAGAGAAGAACAAGGACGUUAGUAACUGAACGUCCCCUGACGGUAUCUAACCAGAAAGCCACGGCUAACUACGUGCCAGCAGCCGCGGUAAUACGUAGGUGGCAAGCGUUGUCCGGAUUUAUCGGGCGUAAAGCGAGCGCAGGCGGUUUCUUAAGUCUGAUGUGAAAGCCCCCGGCUCAACCGGGGAGGGUCAUUGGAAACUGGGAGACUUGAGUGCAGAAGAGGAGAGUGGAAUUCCAUGUGUAGCGGUGAAAUGCGUAGAGAUCUGGAGGAAUACCGGUGGCGAAGGCGGCCCCCUGGACAAAGACUGACGCUCAGGUGCGAAAGCGUGGGGAGCAAACAGG
rnacentral:rRNA from 1 species